GAUCUUCAAUGGCCAAUGAUUUAAUCAAUCAUGCCUGUGUAAUGAAGCCUUCAUAAAAACCUAAAAAAGGACGGGGUUUGGAGAGCUUCCUGUAAGCGAACCCGUGAAGGUUCCAGGAGGAUGGCGCACCCGGAAAGGGCGUGGAAGCUCCGCGCCCCUUCCCACAGACUUUCCCCCAUCCAUCUCUUCAUCUGGUGUUCAUCGAUAGCCUUUGUAAUGUCCUUAAUAGUAAACCGGAAAACACAGGUUCUUUCUACGUUGCCCAAGCUGGAGUGCAGUGGCCAUUCAACAGGUGGGAUCAUAGCACACCGCAGCCUCAAAUUCCUGGGCUCCAGCGAUCCUCCCAUCUCAGCCUCCCAAGUAGCUGGGGCUAUAGGCAUGUGCCACCACACCCAGCUAUUCCUUCUUAUAGCCAAAUAAUAUUCCAUUGUAUGGAUCAUUUUUUUUCUUUUCUUUUCUUUUUUUUCUGAGAUGGAGUCUCACUCUGUUGCCCAGACGAGUGCAGUGGCACAAUCUUGGCUCACUGCAACCUUCACCUCCUGGUUCAAGCAAUUCUCCUGCCUCAGCCUCCCAAAGUGGAGGAAGAAGAGAAUCACCACAUAUCGUAUUUAGAGGUCCUGCAGAAAGGGCAGAGCGAGUUUCAUGUUUGAGUGCAGCGGAUGCAUGGGCAAAGCAUUACACAGCCGCUCCAUGGAAGUGACAAUGAGCCUUGUCUUUCACACGUAACUCCAGGAACCAGGGGAAACAAAACCAAUUCCACCCAGAGGUACAGACAAAGAAGAGCACCCUCCCAAAGGAGCCCGCAUGAUAAGUGGCCACGGCGAACAUCACUGUGAUCAGUCAGAAAGGCAGGCGAGUUAUUAGCUUAGCCCUGAACCUCCUACUUAAUGUAGAACCAGUGGUGAUGGUUAACAGACCCUGGCUGCAGUGACAAGCCUGGGACCUGCUCGAGGAAAUCCAAUUGAAAAGCAGCCAAGAGGAACAACAAGCUAGAAACAGAUGUUCCAGCUACCAGGAUGUGCACGCAUUUAACCUGAACAUGUAGUUGGGGUGGGAUGGUAGCAUUCGUUUCUAAAUAUAGUGAUUUCACUUCUUCCCCCAUAUAGAUAUUGUCAAGUUUAAUUAUAGCCAUCCACAUUAGUUUUGUCAAAUUUUCAGCAAUUUCUUUAAAAUAAGAAGAUGUCAGAAUGAUAACUGCUAUUAAGGGAAUUCAGGGUGUUUGGUUUAUCUACCCAGUCUUACUAAAACAUUUCAGUUAAAUCAUCCACUCUUAAACUCCAGUCUCAUAGCAAUUAAAAAUUAUCUUUUAAAAAAUUGCCCAAAUGAAAUUCCAACAGUUCAUGUAAUUAUUUGAUUUAAUAUUACCAUGUUAGUAAAAUAUCUUUAAGAUA
rnacentral:lncRNA from 1 species